UUUGGGCGAUUUGGAUUUAUAAUGACUUUGUAAGAGUUUUACAAAGUCAAGUUGUUUUCAGAUGACUUGGAUUUUGUGAAAUAAAAUAGGAUUGAUGUUUUGGGCGAUUUUAAGAAUUUUGUAACAUAUCUAUAAAUGAAAUUUUUUAGGUUAAUGCUCAUAGUUGUGCUUAAUAUGUAUUAUGAAUCUUAGCUUGAUUUAAUAGUUAAAUUGAAGAUUAUUAAAAUUUAAAUGGGUCAAGGUCUUAAAAAAUAGAAUUUUAGGUCUAAUGAGGGUUUUUAAGAUUUCUUACAAUCUACUAGUUGAAUU
rnacentral:lncRNA from 1 species